CCUACGGGAGGCAGCAGUGAGGAAUAUUGGUCAAUGGACGAGAGUCUGAACCAGCCAAGUCGCGUGAAGGAUGACUGCCCUAUGGGUUGUAAACUUCUUUUAUAUGGGAAUAAAAUGUUCCACGUGUGGGAUUUUGUAUGUAUCAUAAGAAUAAGGAUCGGCUAACUCCGUGCCAGCAGCCGCGGUAAUACGGAGGAUCCGGGCGUUAUCCGGAUUUAUUGGGUUUAAAGGGAGCGUAGGUGGAUUGUUAAGUCAGUUGUGAAAGGUUGCGGCUCAACCGUGGGACUGCUGUUGAAACUGGCGGGCUUGAGUGCAGGAGAGGUGAGCGGAAUUCGUGGUGUAGCGGUGAAAUGCUUAGAUAUCACGAAGAACUCCGAUUGCGAAGGUAGCUCACUGGACUGCAACUGACGCUGAGGCUCGAAAGUGUGGGUAUCAAACAGGAUUAGAUACCCGAGUAGUC
rnacentral:rRNA from 1 species